GGGUGUAUGCCGCAGCUUCAAAAAGAUUCAACGGGAUUUGUUAAGGUGAUCGCCAGUUUAAGUACCCUGGGCAGACGUUUUCUUUUUCGACUGUUGCUCCUCAAAAAUCCUGAGGCAUCGUUUCGGUGUCGACGAUCGCGGAAGCACUUAAAGCCAAGAAAUAUGACCACGUAAUCCUUGUGUGUGUGUGUGUAUUUGGUGCUCGAGGCAUGUUGCAUCCAUCCCGUACAAGAGAUGCGCUUAUGCUCGUCUUCAGCCCAUUAUGCUACCUCGUCCAAAGCCGUUUCGAAUCGUACACACCGAGGGAGAGAGUGAGAGAGAGAUUGAAGGGGUUCGUCGUUCGUUUGCUUCUUCAUCUCCUUACGAUGCUCCACUCAAGCUGCACACUGUUAUGUUCAGGCUUUUAUCAUUCAUUUUUUGCCUGCUGCUGCACUGUUCACCUUUAAAGCCGCGGCAUUCGUGUAUUCGCUGGUGGAAUCCGCCGUACGUAUAAGAGCGGUGGUCGUGUAACCAUCAUCUUCAUCUGCUGCGGUGAUCGUGAGGCCUCCUGCUCGUCACAUCCUCGUCACAUUAUAAAUAUCGAUGAUGUAACGAUCGAUGAAUUUCGCACAUCGGCCUCCCAUAAUCGCACUUCAUUGCACCAUCGCACAAACAACACCUGAGCGGCAAAGCGACGAACCUGGCUGCCUUUCUUGAGCUCAACAGUCACCACCAACAUCCAGACACAAUCCAAACAGAUCGAUUUCGGAAUUAAUUGCCGCUGAAAUGCACCUGUCCGUUCACGGGUCCUACCCCCUCCCUCCGCCCCCCUCCUGCAUGCUCGCAAAGGAUUUAACGAUACAGCUCACGCACGCGCUAUAAGCGAUCGUUUCAAAUCUGCCUGUCACAACGCCGUAUACUGCUCACAGCCGCGGCCAACCCUUUCACACGACAUUCCAAAGGGUGAGACAACGCGGACAGGCGAACGGACGGACGCACGGUGUUCCUUUUUUUGUUGUGGUUGCGGUGUUACCCACAGACCAAGGCGCGCGCGCACGGCCACUCUUCCACCCCACACUAACACACAGCCGGACGCACAGAAACACUCAGCGAUCCACGGGGCACAGUCUUGCACAGUGUUUAAGACCAGCGAGCGAUGCUGGCUGCUACUGCCGAAGUCAAGAGAUCGCGGUGAUCGUAAUAGCGUGAUGCUUCAUCAACUUGCUGACCUGACACCGAACGGACGACACCAAGAUCGCUGAGUCGAAUGUUGACGGUGCUCAGGGUGCUGAACACUCGGACCCCUACUCUCGGCCCCGGUGAGUUCGUUCAGGGUGGGAUCGACGACCACCCGCUGCUGGAUUUCAGCUGCUUCCCACGAAAAGGCGCUGAACCGUGUAGCGCAACGUAACACACUCGCACGGUAAGAAAGCUCGGCUGAGAAUGACGAUCGUUGAUACAGCGACGAACGUCUCAUGCCGCAUACGCGAGUUGGUGGGAUACAACACUAUAGGCUUUGGGGUGGGUAAAUAUGGAUGUUUAUAUGAUUGAAUGCUCAGUUUGAAGGCAUUGGAGGUGACUUAGUACGUGACUAAUGAGACAAUCAAUAUUUAAAGUUUUAGCACAAUGUUGACUAGACGGGCGAGAUGUUUUUUCAAUUGUUUCUCAUCCUAAAAUUCAGCCCAUUUUUUGAAGAACUUCGACCAUGAUUUUCUUCACUGUUAUCCUUGCCUAAGGGCAUCGAAGUUUCAUUCCUUGAAUCUCUCCUAUAGUGACACGAUCGCACCACUACAUGCAACGGUUCGCUGCUGGCGCUUGCCUUACCUUCACGAAAACGUUUCCCAGCUACUGCGCGCGAGUCGCACCGGAACGCGCAAAACCAGUUUCUUGGCUGCGAGCUUUUUCGCGCACCAGAGCUUUAAGGGGGCUUCAAACACACUCAUCUCCCAAAACGAGGAGAGCUGUUGAAGCGCGUAGGUCUGUAAAUCUUUUGCCAAUCUCAGGAUUAAUGAAGUAGAAUGUUUUGCUGAUAGUAUUACAGUGUUAAAAGAAUCUGAGAUCUUCUUGGGAAGCUCCUAUAUUUUUAAGGUCACAUCAUUGCCUUAAGACCCAUACUGAGCGAUAUGGUAUCCCCUUCUUCGAAAGGCACCAGUCUUUAUUGCACCCACUCACACGCACGAUGCAUUACAAAACAGUGUAGGGCUGGCUGAAUGUAACGUAUCGGAAUGUAGUAGUUGCAGAACUACUACAGCGAAGGAGGGCGCAUCGAAUGUGAACGCAUUCCUUUUUAAGAGUGCCCUCCCAGUCAGUCGGCCUAGCGAAACGAGAGUGAAUCGCACCGAAAUCGGCAAGUGGAUUGGUAGCUUCGAUGUGACUCGCGCUCACCGAAUGACAAACGCGUUUCACUCUUGGGACCCAUAUCAACUGCUAUCUGAACAGUUUUCUCCGUAGCUGAGGUCAGAACGUGCGCAGGAUGCCCAGGGGAUAUGUAACACUUUAAAUUAUUUUAUGGAUGUAUCAUACUAGAAGAUGCCGUUAAGGUAUCACUGUCGGUCGUCAGAUCAAUGACUGCGAAAAAGAAAAAAUAAACAAAUUAUGCAUGAAAACACGGAA